UCAAUUCAACUGAACAUCGUCUUUAAAACCACCGAAUUCCGAAAAGUGAAAGAGAAGGAGCAUAAUUUUAUUUUUAUCUUUUGACCCUGACGAAAUAUCAAUUUACACUGUCGCUGUUUCUCCCUUCUCUGUUUGUCCGUUCCUUUCUACCUCUUUUUUUCCGCACACACACACCAACACUAGCGUUUUUGUGGAAUGAAUGGAGUCUGUUGCUUCAUUGGAGAUAAGCAUAUGCAAAGUUAUAUUAACAAUCACAAUUUAGAGAGUUCUCAGACAAGAUACAACCUCAAACAAUUUUCAAUAAGCUCAAAUUCAACCAUCAAUCUCACAUAGAUUAAGCAAGAACUAGUGUACAAAAUUGGGGAUAGAAUCCACUUAUAACACAAGCAAUGAGUAGUAAACAAGAGUCAAUCUAAGAAUCUUAGUCGAGCUUGUCAGAAAUUUGACCAGAGAACCUUGACAAAAAACUCGACGAUAACUUCGCUUCCGAAUCCAUUGACCAACACUAAUAGAGAACAAAUUCAAGCUGAAAAUCCGAAAGAAUUAAACUCCAAAAUUAGGGGAACAAAAACUGAAAAUCAGUGGGUUCAAUUUCGCUACUGUUUUCUCCUAUGUUCCUCUCUUCGUUUCGCUACUGUUCCGGUUUAAUUUUUCCGUUUUUGUUUCUCUUCAGGCAAGGUUAGCGGCUGGUGAGAGGUUGAUUUUUGGUGAGUUUGGUUUGAAUCACCGGCUAAUUAUGUGCAGGGGUGUGGUGGUGAUGGUGUUAGGCUGCAGGCUGGUGGCGUUAAGCGUCUCACAUGGAUGCUCCGGGUGACUAAAGAAGAAGCAAUGCUGGGGUCGUCUCCGUGUUCAGCGCUGAUUUUCUUGGUUGGGUUUUUCGAGUUUUUCAAAGAAGACAAUGAUGGGUGUCUCGGACAGAGCUUGGUCGAGAGGGAUUAGAGGGUGGCCGUAACUCUUGUUCUUCGAGGUGGAGAUGAGAAAAAUGACUAAAGUUUUUCUAGGGGAGUGGUUCUGUUCUUGGAGUGGAAAAUCAGAGAGGGAGAUGAUGAAGAAACAUGAAGAACAUCGCUGGCUCUUUUUUGGGUCUAAGGAUCCGAUAUGGUCUAAGUCUGAAUGGGGAAGGGAUUAGGG
rnacentral:lncRNA from 1 species